AUCCAGCUGACGAGUCCCUAAUAGGAAGAAAUGCGCAUCCUGGAU
rfam:Trichobilharzia regenti genome assembly, scaffold: TRE_scaffold0041968